GGACGAACGCUGGCGGCGUGCUUAACACAAUGCAAGUCGAAGCGGUAAAGGCCCUUUACGGGGGUACCUACGGAGCGGCGAACGGGUGAAGUAACACGUAGGGUGACCGUGCCCCUCACGCCUCUGGGAUAAGGCCUAGGGAAACCUGGGUCUAAUACUGGAUAUGACUCCACGGUGCAUGUCGUGGGGUGGAAAGCCUUGUGCGGCUGAGGAUGGGCCCGCGGCCUAUCAGCUUGUUGGUGGGGUGAGGCCUACCAAGGCGACGACGGGUAGCCGGCCUGAGAGGGCGACCGGCCACACUGGGACUGAGACACGGCCCAGACUCCUACGGGAGGCAGCAGUGGGGAAUCUUGCGCAAUGGGCGAAAGCCUGACGCAGCGACGCCGCGUGAGGGAUGACGGCC
rnacentral:rRNA from 1 species